rnacentral:misc_RNA from 1 species
GAUGAAGAACGCAGCGAAAUGCGAUACGUAAUGUGAAUUGCAGAUUUCAGUGAAUCAUCGAAUCUUUGAACGCACAUUGCGCCCGCCAGUAUUCUGGCGGGCAUGCCUGUUCGAGCGUCAUUUCAACCAUCAAGCCCCCGGCUUGCGUUGGAGCCCUGCGGCUGCCGCAGGCUCUCCAAAUCCAGUGGCGGGCUCCUCGUCGUACCGAGCGCAGUAGACAUCCUCGCUCCGGGAACGCGUCGGGUCCCUGCCGUGAAACCCCCCCUCCUCAAGGUUGACCUCGGAUCAGGUAGGAAUACCCGCUGAACUUAAGCAUAUCAAUAAGCGGAGGA